ensembl:misc_RNA
GAUUCAGAAUCUAUUCCUAGAAGAGAAAUGCCUUCUACCUCCCACUCCCCGCCGACCCCUCCACCCUGUGUUUAGGUCACCAUUCUGAAAUCCCCCUUUCAGG